AAAGAUUUCCUAAAAUUUUAUAAGGAAUUGAACUCGGGCUUAACCUACUCUCAAUCCUCUCCUAAUAAUCCCGUCGUUCUCACACAAACCCCAGUCAUCAUCUUCCUUCCCCAAAUAAUCUUUCUCUCGUAAUUCAUCAUCUCACAACAAUUUUUCUCUCCUAAAACCUCUCGUAAUCCCGCAGUUCUCACAAGGUCACAACCGGUCAUCCUCCCUCAAGAUCAAUUCGAGCAGUAUGUUCAUCAUCUCACAAGCGCGCAAUAACUUCUGGUUUUCUACGGAAAGCAAACACAACAAAAAAGUCAAGAUUGACUGGAGCAGAUUGAUCGUGAAGGAUGCAGUUACAAGUUAAAGGAGUUCCAGUAUUAUCGUUUAUUCUUGUAUGACAGUUUAGUGUUUUUCAGUUGUAAAUAGACCACCUAGUAACCGAGUUGUAAUAGUUUAAGUUUUGUAAGCCUUAGCACUUGACAAUGUGGUCAAGUGUGGCGGUGAUACCUCCGAUUUAGGUGUAAGCUUCCGCAAUGUUAUUAUAAAGUCUUUUAUAUUCUUAUUUAUUUAUAGUUAGUAAAUCGGGGGUGUUACAACAGAGCUUUAGUAAUUGAUGUCUAAAAGUUGUUGAAGGCUCGAAGGAGCAGGUUAAUCAUUUCUUCUGGUUAUGCAUUCUGGAGCUUGUAUCAGGGAAAGAGUUAUGACUUAGGAAUUAAUCAAUGAAUUAGUAUGGUCUAUUACUAAAGCUAUGGUUAUUCAAAUAACUGAUUCUAAUCAGAAGAAACAAGACUACAAGAUUAUUGUCAUAACAAAAAUCUAUAUAGUGUCAUUUGAUUGGGUUUGCGACUUUAUGGAUCAGUUUUUAUUUAGAAGUUGUUGCCUCUGGUUCAGAACUUUCUUCUUUCUAGCUCUAGUUUGUACCGUCUGACAUUUUGUGUUGCCGUAAUCAUGUAGAUACCGGUUGAGGUCUAAGUUUGACAUUGAGCACAUGGGAGAUAGAUUCUUGCCUGAGGUGAAAUAUAUUUAGAAGCAACUUAGCUAUCAUAAAAUGCUUGUUGUGUUCUUUAUUGUCCAAUGCCCGAGUCUCCUACUUAUCCACAAUCACUGAAAUGGUUUAUGCUAGGGAAAUGCAUGGAUUUACUGUGUUGUUUUUCAGCUACUAAAAAGGUAGAUUGUAAAGCUACUUUUGAUAUGAACAUAUACCGUUAAAGAGAUGAGUCUGAUAAUACAAUUUUUUCAUGGAUUAAGUUUUAAGGAGACAAAGGUAGAGUUGUAUUUCAGAAAUCAUGUUGUCUGAGUAAUCUAACCUUAAUCUUGACACUGUUCGAAAUCAUGUUACCUGAGUAAUCUAACCUUAAUCUUGACAAUGUCCAGGCUUUCUGGUGUGAAUUAACGGAAUACAUUUGUUGUUAGAUCCCAUUCUCCCUCGUCAACUACUUUGGGAUACAUAUAUUGCUGAAGGUGAUGCACUGCCUGAUUUUCUCGUGUACAUAGCAGCCAGUUUAAUUUUCACUGCACUCCAGUGAUCGUGAAAUUGUUGUUAUUUUUCUGGUGGCUUACCUUCCCUACAUGAUGGCUAUAGAGUUAUCGGACUUGGCAAGCCAACAACAAAGGAUCUCGAAAGUCUCUAAGAUGGAAAGAAAUUAUAUGCAGAUAUUUUCUCCAAACCCGUACACUCAAGAGGAGAUCGAUGAUGUUCGAGAAAAAAGGAGUAGAUAUUUUAUUAGUAGUUGUUUGUAGUCAUUUUCUAGUUUUCAAAGAUAGAAAUUAAACUAUAAAAAAUUGUAGGUUAUUUUUUGGAAUACCAUUAUUUACAAUUGUUAAACCAACUUUCUUGUUUGAAUUAAUACAAAAAUAUUUUCGGAAUUAUGCGA